CCUACGGGAGGCAGCAGUGGGGAAUAUUGCACAAUGGGGGAAACCCUGAUGCAGCGACGCCGCGUGAGUGAAGAAGUAAUUCGUUAUGUAAAGCUCUAUCAGCAGGGAAGAAAAUGACGGUACCUGAGUAAGAAGCCCCGGCUAACUACGUCCCAGCAGCCGCGGUAAUACGGAGGGGGCAAGCGUUAUCCGGAUUUACUGGGUGGAAAGGGAGCGUAGACGGCAGUGCAAGUCUGGAGUGAAAGGUGAGGGCUCAACCCCCGGACUGCUCUGGAAACUGUACGGCUGGAGUGCAGGAGAGGUAAGUGGAAUUCCGGGUGUAGCGGUGAAAUGCGUAGAUAUUAGGAGGAACACCAGUGGCGAAGGCGGCUUACUGGACUGUAACUGACGUUGAGGCUCGAAAGCGUGGGGAGCAAACAGGAUUAGAUACCCUUGUAGUC
rnacentral:rRNA from 1 species